AUUUUGAAUCCAAAAUCGACUGUCCAACUAUCUCUCUUAUCAUUAUCUCCUUCCGAAGAACGUGAAGUUCCCCUCAGCAUCAUCACCCGAACUUGCCUUUAAUACCUAACAUUUCUCUCCAAUUUCUUCAUGGGAAAAUAUCCUCAUUACUUUUUUGAAUUCCAAGGUCUCUCACAGUCAUCAUAUGGCCCCACCAAACUAGGUGGUAACGCAUCCAUUCAAAUUUCUGUCUGCUUGAUUGUUGAGGAAUUAUAAGAGGACUCUCCCUUCAGUUGUUGAGCCAGUGCUGCUCUCCAAACAUGUCAAUAUCAUGGUGUUUUGUAAGGACUACAAUGCCCGUUGGACUGCAGAUAAAGCUGACUAUGUUAUUCCUGUUGAAAUUAUGAUCUAGAAUAUAAAAGCUUCACGUUCAUUUUGAAGUCCCUAGUUUUGCUCCUACAUGCUGCUGGUCUUAUUUUCAUUCAUGAACUAACUCUCCCAGAGUUGAAAAAAUGCAAGUGUGCAGAAGCGGCAGCAGAGAUUGCAGCAACUAGAACAUUUUCAGCCCCUUAGGAUCUGGAAAUCUAGCUGGGCCUCCUUUCCACUUCAUUCUUAUCAGCAACAAAAGCUGACAUUGCUGCAAGAAAGGGCACAAGAGAAAGCACUGGAAAAUUUGUUAACAGUAGUCACAAUAGAGUUCAGAAGCAGCAUGUGCUUCCAUCCUGUCAGCAACUCCUCAGACCCAGUUUUCCUUAGGUAUGGAGGGCAUUUUGCUGCAAGGAUUUUGACUAUCUAAGCAUAUGAUUGACUGAUAUCGUCUAAAACAAGAAUAUUAUUUGAUUUUGUUACAUUUUGCCCCACGGAAAUGUUAUCAAUGGCAUUUGAACCAAGUUUAUUUUGUUAGCUAAUAUCCAUAGACUAUAGAACACAAUCCUCCUUGUUAUUAUACCGAUCUAUUUGAAAGUCUACCAACCAACCAUUCAAUUCU